rnacentral:tRNA from 5 species
GCCCUAGUAGCUCAGUUGGAUAGAGCGUCUGCCUCCGGAGCAGAAGGCCACAGGUUCGAACCCUGCCUAGGGCACCA